AUGCAGAUAAGUGUUACAUGUAAUGUACAGUGUAUACAUUACAAGUAUAAAUAAAACUAUAUCAUUAAGUCUAAAAAAAUUAAGGUAACACCUACCCCACUUCAUCUUAAAUUAAUGGCUUGUAAAAUAAAAAGUAGGGUGAUGUUCAAGUGACAGAAGAAAAGAUUAAAUAAAAAUUUGUGUCAAGGGAUUUUUAACAUUAAUUUUAUAAUAGUUUUCAGUAAUACAAUGAGUAACAGAAAUAUUUCAUUUGUUUUCAUCUCUUAUAUUUUUAUUUAUAUUUCAAUGUUGAGGCCAAUUUUUGAACUAAUUAAUGUAACAUGAUUUUAUUUGUAACAGGAAAUUAAAGAGGUAAUUGAAAGUAUAUGGCUGGAGUGGACUGUGUACAUAUAUAUAGAUAGGCCUUGGAAGCUCUGUCGGUAGAGCACCUGACUAGUGAUGCAGGGAUCCAUGGUUCAAUCCCAGUCCAGUCAUACAUUUUCUCCUUUCUAUUUAUGCAAAAUUUUAUUUACAAAUGAAUGCAUGGCAUUAGAAAAGAAGGCAAAGCCUAUUUUAGCCCUCACCCUGUAAAAAAAUAGAUUAUUUAUCAAUCUGAGGACUCAAUUUUAUUUCUUUCAUUAUGAAAUUUAUUGAUUUUUUUUUUUAGAAAAACAAUUAACAGACAUCAUAUAUGUUACCAUAGAUAUGGACCCCUUCACUGGGUUGAAUAUAGGUCCUUAUACUGAGCUGGAGUUUUGCUACUCUGUAAACAAUUACAAUGGAGAGAAAUGAUCAUGACUUCUAAAGUACUUUUACACUGACGGUAAAUGCCUACUAAUUAAUUAAAUGGUCAGCUAGGAUUCCAUCCAUAGGUGACAGUACAUGCUACCAUCCAAGAUUUGGGAGGAGAGUCAAAGUGAAGACAAACUACCAGGGUAAUUUAGGUUCAGGAGAGCCAGACACUUGGAAACCAACCUCUCAGUUGUGUGUUCAGUUCAGUUGCAGGUUGGCUAUGGUAGAUCAGCGUUUGAUUUAGGCCUGUGCUGUAUUGUCAUUUGGUUAAGCUGGCAGUGCUUUGGGAUUUUAUCUCCACCUCAGGAUCAUGUGCUUUGAAAAGAUGACUAGGAGUUCCUUUCUCAAACUCUUUUUUUUUCAAAUCUAUAUCAAAUUUCCCUAUCCUGAAUUUUGUUGUCCUGAGAGAACUUAAUUAGCUAUGUUUUAAUUUUAAAAGCAUGUUUGAAGUAUUUGUUGGAAUUUAUUUGUUUUUGCUCGCCUGAACCAAAGUGUGACAUGAGUUUAAUUAAUUGAAAUUCAUCCAUUGUUCAGUUGUCAAUGUAAACUAUAUUUACUUAUUUGAAUUUUUCUCCAAAACCCUCAAUUUUCAACCAAACUUUGCAAAAAGCAUUAUUGAAUAAAAGGGAUUUAAGUUCUCCUUUGAAUGAACAUAUACAUUAUGUAGUCCCCUGUAAUUAUUCACCUUAGUACAAUAAUAAAUAACUCUGAUGACUGUUAAGGCCUUUUGGGCCUUUUGUUUUGUCAAUAAUGGAUCCUUGGAGAAGGUUGAGGGUAAUAAUCCCUUUGGGCAGAGUAGGGUCACCAAACUGGGUCAAAGUUAAUUUAUUGCAAUAUUAGGAGUAAAUUUUUUAAAAACCUUUUUCAGAAUAAUAUGAAUCAGGGAGAGUUAUGACCAAAUGGGCUUUUUAGCACUGGUUCUCUGCCCUUGAUUCUGGUCACUGAUGAUAAAAAUUGGUUUUUCAGGGAUCUGGUGCUGGUUAACCAAUGUGAGGGUACCAGUCUAGCCUUUAGCACUUUUAGUGCAUGCAUAAAAGUUCUUUAAUUUAAAAAAAAAAAGAUUUUUUUUAAGUGUUUGCUACAUGUAACUGAUGAAGCCAGGUCAAUUGAAAGUUACCUGUAUAUUGUAAGAUUAAUGUAUUUUAGAACAAAUUACAGGAUUUUAUAUUCUCAAUAUUCUGAAUAAUUUUUCCAUGUCAACCAAUAUCUAGGAACAUAUUCUAAUUUUACCUAUAAAAGUUACCAGGUAAUAAGAAUGUCAAUAUAUUGAUGAAAUAUUUGACACAAUGUCUGGUCAGUCAUUUAUUUAUAUUUCAUGAGUUAUGAAAUGCAUGUACAUAGAUCAUUCACAAAACUUUGUUUAUUGGAAGUUAAUUUGUUGUCUACAUGAAAAUUUUAUUGAUGAACAGAUAUUACAGGCACAUGCUUUUGUAAACCAAUGCACAAAUGCUGGAUAAUAUAAAUACAUCUGCAUACUACACUGUACUAGAAUUUGAAUAAAGGUAAAGAUUACCACAAAAAUAAUUAUCUUCUUUAUUUGAAGAAUAAAACAAUUUUUAAAGUUUGAUUUUAUGUAUCUUUUUAUUUAGCAUAUGUAUGUAUGUAAUCAUAAUAAAAAUAUUAUGAAAUCGAAAUAUACUUAUUCUGAGUUUAUAUUGGUAUGUUUAUCAAGAUAAAAUGAUAUUCUGCUACUACAAAUAUCUAGCUCUGUUGUUUAAAAUUUGAUAAAUUCACCAAAAAAUUAAAAUAUAUUGUGAAAGUCUGAGACCUUUCUUAAUUGGGAAUUUAAUUUUUGGAACCUGCAUGAAUGUAAACCUAGUUCAGUCAGUCAUGUAUAUAUUUCAGCGUAUCCACUAUAUAAUUUAUAUAAUCACAUUCACGUUUGGUUUAGCCCCUCCUGUUAGAUAGAGUCAUAAAAUAAAAAUGUUAUUUCUAAUACACAUAAGAAAAUUUUAUAAUCAUUUAAUUGAAGAUCUGCAGGGCUCAGUUGACUCGGGUGAGGUUUAAGGCUACUGAGUACUCAAGUUUUUUGUUCAUGAUUAAAUUCAAAGUGCGG